rnacentral:rRNA from 1 species
GACGAACGCUGGCGGCGUGCUUAACACAUGCAAGUCGAACGGAAAGGCCCUGCUUUUGUGGGGUUCUCGAGUGGCGAACGGGUGCGUAACACGUGAGUAACCUGCCCUUGACUUUGGUAUAACUUCAGGAAACUGGGGCUAAUACCGGAUAGGAGCUCCUGCUGCAUGGUGGGCGUUGGAACGUUUCGGCGGUUGGGGAUGGACUCGCGGCUUAUCAGCUUGUUGGUGGGGUAGUGGCUUACCAAGGCUUUGACGGGUAGCCGGCCUGGGAGGGUGACCGGCGACAUUGGGACUGAGAGACGGACCAGACUGCAACGGGAGGCAGCAGGGGGGAAUAUGGCACAAUGGGCGGAAGUCUGAUGAAGAAACGUUGCGUGCGGGAUGACGGCCUUUGGGUUGUAAACCGCUUUCGCCUGUGACGAAGCGGGAGUGACGGUAAUGGGUAAAGAAGCACCGGCUAACUACGUG